AAGUAAGAAGCAAUUAUUUUGCAUUUAAUUUCGACUUAAAAGAAAGAGUUAACUACUCCUUAUUUA
rnacentral:tRNA from 1 species